rnacentral:rRNA from 1 species
UACAGAGGGUGCGAGCGUUAAUCGGAAUUACUGGGCGUAAAGCGUGCGUAGACGGUUAUUUAAGUCGGGUGUGAAAGCCCCGGGCUCAACCUGGGAAUUGCAUUCGAGACUGAAUAGCUAGGGUACGGUAGAGGGAAGUGGAAUUUCCGGUGUAGCGGUGAAAUGCGUAGAUAUCGGAAGGAACAUCAGUGGCGAAAGCGACUUCCUGGACCAGUACCGACGUUCAGGCACGAAAGCGUGGGGAGCAAACAGGAUUAGAACCCCAGUAGUCC